rnacentral:rRNA from 1 species
UAACACGUAGGAUUCAAGCGUUAUCCGAAUUUACUGGGCGUAAAGCGCGUGUAGGCGGUGCGGUAAGUUGGACGUGAAAGCUCCUGGCUCAACUGGGAGAAGUCGUUCAAAACUUCCGUACUAGAGGACGGUAGAGGGAGGUGGAAUUCCCGGUGUAGUGGUGAAAUGCGUAGAUAUCGGGAGGAACACCAGUGGCGAAGGCGGCCUCCUGGGCCGUUCCUGACGCUCAGACGCGAAAGCUAGGGGAGCAAACGGGAUUAGAUACCCCGGUAGUCCUAGCUGUAAACGAUGUGAACUUGGCGUUGGUGGGGUAAAAUCCAUCAGUGCCGAAGCUAACGCGAUAAGUUCACCGCCUGGGGACUACGGUCGCAAGGCUA